UUUAAUUGAUUAAUCAAAAGUUUUACACGUAACGAAGAACAAAAUGAUGGUUCAUACACAUAAUGAAAUGGUCAUUUUAUAAAUAAGACCUACAACUAAUAAUAUCAAUAUCCGGCAAAUGCGACUAAUCCCAUAUGUCAAGGGUACGAUCGUCUGACUGAUAAACGGGAACGGAGCAAACCUUCACGGCGUUAACAAACUGUGAGUGGGUGCCACCAAUUGAAGACAGCUUCACCAUCCACAUGUUCCGUCGACCACGUUUUUGUUGUUAUGCGUUCUAAAAUAAUACUCCAAAAAAAUAGUAAAACAAAGUACAAAAAAAUUGAAAAAUCUAAAAGAAAAACAAAAAGCAAAAAAAAAAACUAGAAGAACAAAACAAGGAGGAAACCAGAAAGUAAGAGGCAGGCAAGUGCACGUUGUCUGCAUCAAUUUAAAAUAACACGUGUCCAACUUUAGUUAGUUUAAAACUACGCGGGGGAGAUUCUUAUAUUCUCGACAAAACAGUGGAUAGGAGCUGUGUUAUGCUGCUACGCAACCCAUAGAAAUCCCAAAAGCAUUCCAAUGCAACGACAAAAAGUUAAUAUAUAAUCCAGUGCUUAAUAAAUAGCUAGACGGUAGGCGGGCGGACGAGCUCCGACUAACGCCUAAAUUAAAAGUCAGUGAUUAAUCGCUGAUUAAUAGAUAAUUAAUUUUUUAAUUAAUUUAUUUUAUAUUUAAUUUUUAAUUAAUUAUAUUAGUUUUUUUAGAUUAUUUUGGAGCUUGAACUUACUUAGGCUGAUUUUGGGCCGAUUUCAGAAAAUAUGAAAUUUUUAUUAAUAAAGUUGGACUAAUUUUAAAUUUUAAAAAAAUUUUAAAUUAAUUUUAAAAAUUUUUAAAUGAAUUUUAAAAAUUAAACAAUAAUUUUGUUUUUAAUGAGUUUUUAGACAGUUUUAUGCGAUUUAAGAUGAUUUUAAGCGGUUUUAAACGGUGAAAAAUCAGAAAAUUACCUAGAAACGCUGUCUAGCACUUAGUCGGGGCGGUUAGCUAUCGCUUAGCGCCUAGGCGGCCGACUAAGCGACUAGACGGCUGACUUUUUGAACAAGGACUAAGACUAAGAAAAAAUCCAAAUGGAACGAGUCUUUCUUUUACAUAUUUGAUGGAAACUUUAUCACAAGAGGAUUAGAUAUAUAAAUCGAGAUAUAUUUUUGACUGAUAAAAAAAGAUAAAAUUCGAGUGAAUUUGAGUUUAUUGGUUAGAA
rnacentral:lncRNA from 1 species